CGCCCUAAUCUGCCCUAAAUGGGGUAGUAAACGAGAGAAAAUAAAUGAAUUCGGGACGGAAAAUGAAGUAAUUUUUAUGAUCUGAAACGGAUUCGGAGCAGAAAACGGGAGAAAUUUUGACCCACCUAGAAUCCCCUCGAAUCCGCCCCGUAAUGAUCCGUCCCGAAUUCGCCUAAAAAAUUAUUUAUAUUUUUAAAAAUAUUCCUAAAAAAUAAUGUAGUUAUAAAAAAAUCUAAAAUACAAAUAAAUUAUUACUCUCAUUUCUCAUGUAUUCGAAACUUUUUAAUUUUACUUCGAAUUAUGAUUGAUAUUUUUAUUUUUUAUAAUUGAUGUUGUUAAUUAUAUAUAUAAUAUUAUUAAAAAUUAUUAAUUUAUAUUUUACAAAAUAUUAACAAUAUUAUAAUUUUAUAAAAAAUAUUAGUUGGCGGGACGGAUUGGGGGUGCCGACAAUGGACAGGUUAAUAGGCGGAAUGGAUUAUAAAAUAUACUAGUAUAGGAACCCGCGCGAUGCGGCGGAUAUAAUCAUAUUUGAUUAAAUUUAAUAAUAUAAAAAAUAUUUUAAAACUUUUAGAAUAAAAUUAUAAUUUAAUAAAAAAUAACGAAAGAAAAAAAAAAUUAUAGGAGAAAAAAAUGUGUUACAUAGAAAUCAGACCGCUUUGUAUCUUCAUUUAGGGCAUUCUCUACUAACACCGAUACUUUCGUGAAAUAUCAUAACGCCUUCAACCCUUUUUCAGCAAGUCCUAUACAUUACAAAUAUAAGUGGUCGACAUGGAGGGAGAAAGGUUCGAGGCUAGGGUUAGAGUUCGACUCACUCGACGUUGAAGGUGAGAGCGAGGGCGGUGCGCUUGCGGGCUUGAGGGGAGCGGACGUAGUAGGCGAGGUUGUUGUCGAGAACGCCAUUUGCCGUACCCACAGGCUUCUCGGGUAACGAUUCUUAGAAAAUAGAAACUAAUUAGAGGGAAGUCGAAGUAGCGACGUUACAAAAAAGUAAUUAUGAGAUGGGAAGUUGAAAAGACAUACGUUAUGAAAAAAAAUUAAUAAGAUGGGAAGCCGAAAAGAUAGACGUUACAGGGAAGGAAAGCCGAAGAGACCGCUUAGCCAUUUGGUUCAAAAGAGGGACAAGUGAGAGUGAAAGAUAGGCUGCCACGUGGUAAGAUUAGGGGAAAUAAUGUUAAGGUAUAGAUUUGUUAUCCCAUUACAAAUUUAGAGUGGGAGACGGGACGGAAUUUU
rnacentral:lncRNA from 1 species